rnacentral:rRNA from 1 species
GGGAGGCAGCAGUGGGGAAUAUUGCACAAUGGGGGAAACCCUGAUGCAGCCAUGCCGCGUGUGUGAAGAAGGCCUUCGGGUUGUAAAGCACUUUCAGUUGUGAGGAAAGGUUAACGGUUAAUACCCGUUAGCUGUGACGUUAGCAACAGAAGAAGGACCGGCUAACUCCGUGCCAGCAGCCGCGGUAAUACGGAGGGUCCGAGCGUUAAUCGGAAUUACUGGGCGUAAAGCGCACGCAGGCGGUUUGUUAAGCUAGAUGUGAAAGCCCUGGGCUCAACCUGGGAAUUGCAUUUAGAACUGGCAGGCUAGAGUUUUGGAGAGGGGAGUGGAAUUCCAGGUGUAGCGGUGAAAUGCGUAGAUAUCUGGAGGAACAUCAGUGGCGAAGGCGACUCCCUGGUCAGUAACUGACGCUCAUGUGCGAAAGUGUGGGUAGCGAACAGGAUUAGAUACCCUGGUAGUCCACACCGUAAACGCUGUCUACUAGCUGUUUGUGGAUUUAAUCCGUGAGUAGCGAAGCUAACGCGAUAAGUAGACCGCCUGGGGAGUACGGUCGCAAGGUUAAAACUCAAAUGAAUUGACGGGGACCCGCACAAAAGGG